UUGUUUAUUAAUUAAGUCAACUUGCUUAUUUGAUGUUAACUUUAUUCGUUCUCACGGUCAGAUUCCCACGGUCCGUAUUUUACUUCCUGUGCUGACACAUUAAAGAUGGAGAUCGACAGCAACAACAUCAGCGGGAGCAGUGGAAACGAGUCAUAACUGCUUGGUCACCUGCCCGUCUAAUAAAUGGUCAAAGACUAUGGAAGCAAGCAAUAUUUUAAAGUUACUCUGUUGUCUCCUUUGUGUUGCUGAUCAUGACGUUACAGGAAUACCUUACCCAGGCGAUGAUGCUUCUGUGCCUGAACUAGUCCAAUACUAUCAUCAAUUAUGCUACACGUCCCUUCAAAUAUGUGGAUUUCUUUUGUUUGUUCACGGAACAUUCAUGAGUUGUUUCAUGUUAAAAAGACUUAAGAGAAGAUUAAAUAUCAGACGGCGUAACAACCAGUCG